rnacentral:rRNA from 1 species
UUAUGGAUAACAGGUUUAGAUUCCUGUACCACGCAUUAUCAGAACUGUAGGGACGCAUGUGGAAAGCACGAGCCGGGAAUGGAAAGACCGGUACAAGCGGGGUAGGUGUACAACAGGCAAAUCCGUUGUAUAAUCCGAAGACGUGGUGUGGAGCGAAAUAAAGUAGUGAAGCGUGUGAGCCAUGUGCCGAGAAAAGCUGCUAUUGUGUAAUGCGUGCCCGUACCGUAAACCGACACAGGUGGAUGAGGAGAGAAUCCUAAGGCCGACGGAAGAAGCAUUGUUAAGGAAUUCGGCAAAAUGACCCCGUAACUUCGGGAGAAGGGGUGCCUGCGAGAGCAGGCCGCAGAGAAUAGGCUCAAGCAACUGUUUAGCAAAAACACAGGUCUAUGCGAAACCGAAAGGUGAAGUAUAUGGGCUGACGCCUGCCCGUGCUGGAAGGUUAAGAGGAGAGGUUAGCGUAAGCGAAGCUUUGAAUUUAAGCCCCAGUAAACGGCGGCCGUAACGAUAACGGUCCUAAGGUAGCGAAAUUCCUUGUCGGGUAAGUUCCGACCCGCACGAAAGGCGUAAUGAUUUGAGCACUGUCUCGACAAUGCAUCCGGUGAAAUUGAAGUACCAGUGAAGAUGCUGGUUACCCGCGCCGGGACGGAAGGACCCCAUGGAGCUUUACUCCAGUUUGAUACUGGGAUUCGGUACUGCAUGUACAGGAUAGGUGGGAGACAAAGAAGGAUGGACGCCAGUCUGUCCGGGGUCGCUGUUGGGAUACCACCCCUGUAGUACUGGGUUUCUAACCAGUUGCCAUGAACUGGCAAUGGGACAAUGUCAGGCGGGGAGUUUGACUGGGGCGGUCGCCUCCGAAAGGGUAUCGGAGGCGCUCAAAGGUUCCCUCAGAAUGGUUGGAGACCAUUUGAAGAGUGCAAAGGCAGAAGGGAGCUUGACUGCGACACCGACGGGUGGAGCAGGUACGAAAGUAGGACUUAGUGAUCCGGUGGUAUAAAGUGGGAUUGCCAUCGCUCAACGAAAAAAAGCUACCCUGGGAUAACAGGCUUAUCACUCCCAAGAGUUCACAUCGACGGAGUGGUUUGGCACCUCGAUGUCGGCUCAUCGCAUCCUGGGGCUGUAGCAGGUCCCAAGGGUUGGGCUGUUCGCCCAUUAAAGCGGUACGCGAGCUGGGUUCAGAACGUCGUGAGACAGUUCGGUCCCUAUCCGGCGCGGGCGGAGGAUAUUUGAGAGGAGCUGUCCUUAGUACGAGAGGACCGGGAUGGACGGACCACUGGUGUAUCUGUUGUCGACCAACGGCAUGGCAGAGUAGCCAAGUCUGGAAGGGAUAAACGCUGAAGGCAUCUAAGCGUGAAGCCCCCCUUAAGAUGAGAUAUCCCUCCUUCGGGAGUAAGACCCCUUGAAGACUACAAGGUAGAUAGGGCAGAGGUGGAAGCAUGGCAACAUGUGGAGCUGACUGUUACUAAUAGGUCGAGGGCUUAAUAAC